GACUUCUGGUUUAAUGCACCUGGCCCGCGGCCUUUCAGGCCUGUGAGUGCCGGCGCGCGUUUACCAUCCUUCCAGAUAACACGUCUUCCCUUCACUGGGCCGGAUAUGGGGUCUGGAUCUUUUACUUUGAAAAAAUUAGAGUGUUUAAAGCAGGCUAUUGCAUUGAAUACAUUAGCAUGGAAUAAUAAUCUAGGACUUCGGUUCUAUUUUGUUGGUUUCUAUAACUGAAGUAAUGAUUGAUAGGGAUAGUUGGGGGUGCUAGUAUUGGCCGGCCAGAGGUGAAAUUCUUGGAUUCGGUCAAGACUAACUUAUGCGAAAGCAUU
rnacentral:rRNA from 1 species